rnacentral:rRNA from 1 species
AUUGAACGCUGGCGGCAUGCCUUACACAUGCAAGUCGAACGGCAGCACGGGAGCAAUCCUGGUGGCGAGUGGCGAACGGGUGAGUAAUGUAUCGGAACGUACCUUUCAGUGGGGGAUAACGUAGCGAAAGUUACGCUAAUACCGCAUAUUCUGUGAGCAGGAAAGCAGGGGAUCGCAAGACCUUGCGCUGAUUGAGCGGCCGAUAUCAGAUUAGCUAGUUGGUGAGGUAAAGGCUCACCAAGGCGACGAUCUGUAGCGGGUCUGAGAGGAUGAUCCGCCACACUGGAACUGAGACACGGUCCAGACUCCUACGGGAGGCAGCAGUGGGGAAUUUUGGACAAUGGGCGCAAGCCUGAUCCAGCCAUGCCGCGUGAGUGAAGAAGGCCCUGGUU